GCUUACGGCCAUACCACCUUAGGCACGCCCGAUCUCGUCUGAUCUCGGAAGCUAAGCAGGGUCGGGGCUGGUUAGUACUUCGAUGGGUGACUGCCUGGGAAUACCAGGUGCUGUAAGCA
rnacentral:rRNA from 10 species